rnacentral:rRNA from 1 species
GACGAACGCGGGCGGCGUGCUUAACACAUGCAAGUCGAACGAUGAAGCCUAGCUUGCUAGGUGGAUUAGUGGCGAACGGGUGAGUAAUACGUGAGUGACCUACCUUUGACUCUGGGAUAAGCCUGGGAAACUGGGUCUAAUACCGGAUACGACCAAUCUCCGCAUGGGGUGUUGGUGGAAAGCGUUAUGGAGUGGUUUUAGAUGGGCUCACGGCCUAUCAGCUUGUUGGUGAGGUAAUGGCUUACCAAGGCGACGACGGGUAGCCGGCCUGAGAGGGUGACCGGCCACACUGGGAUGAGACACGGCCCAGACUCCUACGGGAGGCAGCAGUGGGGAAUAUUGCACAAUGGGCGCAAGCCUGAUGCAGCGACGCCGCGUGAGGGAUGACGGCCUUCCGGGUUGUAAACCUUCUGUUAGCAUCGAAGAAGCG